rnacentral:miRNA from 1 species
UGUUAAAUGUGUGUGUGCAUGUGCAAGUGUACACGUAUGUGUAUAUUGUACAUAGGACAAAUAAAAUAUUCGACAUUCACAAAUUUA